AUAGCGGAGAUUAAACGCACUCGUAAUGCGUAGGCCGGGGGUUCAAUUCCCUUCACCA
rnacentral:tRNA from 1 species